UACAGGGGGUGCAAACGUUGCUCGGAAUUAUUGGGCGUAAAGCGCGCGUAGGCGGCCACUUAAGUCGGAUGUGAAAGCCCCUGGCUCAACUGGGGAAGUGCACCCGAAACUGAAUGGCUUGAAUGCAAAAGAGGGUCGCGGAAUUCCCGGUGUAGAGGUGAAAUUCGUAGAUAUCGGGAGGAACACCAGUGGCGAAGGCGGCGAUCUGGGUCGAUACUGACGCUGAGGUGCGAAAGCGUGGGGAGCAAACAGG
rnacentral:rRNA from 1 species